rnacentral:rRNA from 1 species
UACGUAGGGUGCGAGCGUUAAUCGGAAUUACUGGGCGUAAAGCGUGCGCAGGCGGUGGCUCAAGCCAGGCGUGAAAUCCCCGGGCUUAACCUGGGAACUGCGCUUCUAACUGGCAGGCUAGAGUGUGGCAGAGGGGGGUGGAAUUCCACGUGUAGCAGUGAAAUGCGUAGAGAUGUGGAGGAACACCGAUGGCGAAGGCAGCCCCCUGGGCUAACACUGGACGCUCCAUGGCACGAAAGCGUGGGGAGCAAACAGG